rnacentral:lncRNA from 1 species
UUGGCCACUACGGCGACAACAUCAUCUUCUUCUGAAUCAAGACGUUCUUCUUCCUCAACAUGCGGUUUUCUUCGGGCGCAAGAAACAUCUACCAGAUAUGCCUCUAGCACCGAGAAUAUAGCGAAAUUGCUUAAAGGGUGGGUGAAGACCUCACCAAAGACUCAGAACUCCGCUGAUCAGAAGAAUCCUCCAGAUUCUGAGACAAAAGAAGUGAUGAGGAGUGAUGAUGUUCAGGAAGACUGUGCAGGGGGAUUUCAAGCAUUUUCCGGGUUUGAUAACUCGAACGAUUGUGACUCACCAUAUCAUCAGACUAAACUUUCACCUGAUCAUGAGACUAAACAAGACAUAACUGGAUGUAGUAACCAAAGUCAAUUGUCCUUGUUCGAGAAGUGGCUGUUUGAGGAUUCUGGUGGACAGAUUGGUGAUAUUCUGCUGGAUGAAAACCCUAACUUCUUCUGAAUAACUUGGUUAAUCAGAUGGUUCUAAAUUUAGGAUCCUCUUUGUUUUUUCUUUUUCUGAUUUUUUUUUGGGAUUUCCGAAUUAACUUGCUUAGAUUAUCGUGAGCUAAGUCUCUAGUAAUUUUUUUUAUUUUUCUCGUUAAUUACACAAUUAAUAAUGUUGUGUUUUACAAAUGGUCUUCUGAAUUCUUAAGGGGGCUGAAAUAUGUCCACCCAAAUAUUGAAGUAUUGGUGAAAAAUCAUAUAUCUUUUAUUUUUCUAUUUAUCAAAUUGUCAUUUUGAAUUAUUGUUUUUCUUUCUGAAGCAUGUUAUGUUUGAGAUCUCAACAUAAAAAGAAUCUAUAUGCUACAAUUCAAACUUAUACAUUAACGCCAAACAAAACUAAAUAAAAAGACGGAAAUUCAAGCUUAGCUGCUUGUUAAAUACUCGGGGUUGUAGUUUAAUAUUGUUGUAAAUAUAAAAUGUGAUUUGUGUGUAGUGGAUAAAAACUACAGUCAUAGAAAAGUAAAAUACUUCGAGCACUAUUAGUGGCGGUGUUUUGAAAUCCGAUCCGGAUCUUUGUUUAAACCGAUAAAUUCGGUGACCCAAAUAUAAUUUGAUUUGGAUUUUAGGAAAAACUAAAAACCGAUUAAAACCCACAAAAAAUUACUAAAACUCAGAACUCAGCAACCGGUUGAACCACUGGUUAAACCAGUAAGUAACUUUUAUUUCUUUUUCAGAUUUCUUAAUUAUGUUAUUAAAAUUUGUUUUUUAUUCAAAUUAAAAAUUUAGGUUUUUAGAUUUUACUAGUAUAUUUUUCUGCUGCCUGAUAUCAACUAUGUAUCUCCCUUUUAUUAUUUUUUGUGAAUCUCAAUUAUACUAUUUAAUUUGUGAUUUAUUUGUGUGUUUUCAAAGAUUUUGAUGAAGAUUUAUUCCAUUUGAAAAAAUAAAGUCAACGAUGAUAGAGAUAACCAAAAAUUAGUUAGUGUGAUGUGGUCGAUAUUAGUUUAUUUUUUGUUAUCGAUAAUCUAUUAUUACAGUUUAAUAUUUAACUUUGGUUUUUUUAUUUAUAGUUUAAUUUUACCAUUCACAUUUCACAUUUAAAUACUUAUGGAAUUCAAGUCUUGAUAUUUUUUAUUAGAUGUCAUAAUUUCUAACUUAUUACAAAAAUUGUUAAUUAGUCUUAAUUAUUUUUGAUAGUUUGUAUGUUAAAUGAAAAAGAAAAACAAAAUUUAAGUGUUUUCUAAAUAUUUUUAAAACAUAAAAUAUGUAUUAUAGUGUGUUUCCAGAAAAAAAAAAGACUAUAGCGAUGCUGGUGCUCUUAGUACUUAACAACUUGCCCUUUUAUAGACAGAUCACUCAAAAAAAUAUUACAUGAAGAUUAUUGGAAGAUGAAUUUGUACAGAGUUUGUGAAUUUUAAAAGUUGAUAUAUUUAAAAAAAUUAUGUGAAUUGUGAAAAUUUAUAUACAAUGACUUAUAAAAUUAGAUUAGUAUAGAUUUUCUGUAUUACUUUUUCUAUCAUUCUUUUUGUAAAUCAUAUAGCAUGAUUAUUUAUUCUUUCAAACUAAAAAAAUAAAAAUAUUAAUACAUACAAAAUUAAGCAAUUCUUUUAAAUAGUUUCUUUUAAGUUUUUGUCACAAAACAAAUACUCAAAGAAGAAAAUGAUCAAAAGAGGUUUUAUUAAAAAAUUAAAAGAUUAUUUUACCCCUUGUUUAUAGAUAUAUAAAUAAUAAAAAUAUUUUUUUUAUUUUGAAUUAUAUGUUUUAAAAUCUGAAGUUUUUUUCUAAUUUUUAAACAACCUUUCGAUUUUUUUUUCAAAAAAAUUUGUCAAUUUUUUUAAAUACAAAAAUUCUUUUGAAACUAUUUUAAAAUUUUUUAUUUUAUUUUUAAAAUAUUUAUAAAUAUAGUUAUAUAUUCAAAAAUGAUAAAAGAAUAUAAAAAUAAUUAUAUAUCCAAAUAUGUAAAAGUAUAUAAAAUGUAAUGAAUUAUAAUUUUGGAUUUGGGAUUUGGAUUUAAAGUGCAAUAGAUAUUUGCUAAGUAUAUCUGAGAGAAAUUAAAGUAGUCCCGUGACUCUUCUUCUUCCUUUUCCUCCGGCCUCGUGAACCCAAAUUGAUAUAUAUAUAUACAUAAAUACACAUGUACACAUAAAUAGAAAUGGUUGUAUGACUUGUGUCUAUCAAAUCCAGUAAUCCUCUUUAUCUUAUACCAAAUUUUCAUUGAAAUAGUAUCUCUGAAUCUCUUUGACCAAAAAAACAUUAUCUCUUAAAUCUUAAUCUCUUUACAAUUGGUUCCAUCUAAAAACCAAAAAUCGAGGACAAAACAUAUUAAAUCAUACUCCUUCUGUAUCAGAAUAAAUGGGUUUUAAGGUUUUUGCACAACGAUUAAAAAUUACAAAAUUUUAUUCAAUUUUUUCGUUUGUAUAAAAACAACAAUAAAUACAAAUAAUUCAACCAAUAAAAAAUCAUACUGCAAAACAAAAAUAGUCAAAAACAUAAAAUUGCAUUUAUUUUUCAUAUAAAAACUUGAAAACAUCGCUUAAAAUGAAACAAAAUUUUUAUCUUUUUUUUUUUUUUUUUGGACGAAUAAACAAAAUUUUUAUCUUAAAACACAAAUUAAAGUGAUAUGGAGUGAAUAUUGAUAUAUCUUUUCAUGUAUAUGCAUAUGCAAACAUUGUACGUAUCAGGAAGUCCCAACAUCAUGAAUGACCACGGAUCUGGGCAUAGGUCAGUAAAACAUUGGCUUUGCUCCCAAAAUUUUUUAUACAGGUAGGCGUCUAAAUUUUGAAAAAAAAAAUUAUUCAAAAAUAUUUCAAGCUCUCAAAAUUUUAGAUUCAGCCAUGUGAAUGACGUAGACCAUAAUGUAAUUUGACAAUGGCCAAAGACCCACUGGUUCAAUCCAAAACAGCAACUUUUUCCUUUUCUAUUUUCUUAACAAUAAAUAAUUCGUUUUCAUGGAGAACCGAAACAGCAAACAUGACGCGGAGAAAAUCUCGUUCGUUAAAAUACCAUCUCAACAAGUUCUAUUAUUAACAAAGCCUAUGCACUACACAUAAAUGCAAUAGGCACUAUUCAAUUCUUAAAAUUAUCGUAGCAAUAAAUCAAACACUAUAGAGGGAGAUAUCUUAUCAUAUAUCAUUAUCAUGUUAUCCUGCAUGUCCCCGUUAUUAUUGAUAUUUUAAAUAACACAACCUAAUUAUAAUAUUUUUUUAAUAUUAGGGUUUUUGAGAGGAGCAAGCCCACAUUGAAUGCCACGCGGUUUUGUGUAGAGGGUAGAGACUUUUCCGUUUGCCACACAGCUGACUUUGGAGGCUUUACGUCCACUUUUGUAGUUAAUGCUUUACACAUUUGUAUUUUACUUUAUUUUUAUUUAUUAAAUACUCGAUUUUGAGAGACCGAAGAGUCCAAGACCAAGAGGGGUCAGCAUAUAUAUAGAAGAAGAAGGUGGACAUAGACCUUUGUCGCCAAGCUUAACCAUUAGAUCCAUCCAAAGCGACUAAUAAGUGAGGCUAAGGUACUGUGACUCAUCAACAACUAAAGUUGUUUCAGUUUUCUUCUAUUUUCUUGGCAAAGAGUUGUAGUGAGAAUUUAAGAAAGGCAAGAAGAGGAAAGGAGGGAUUGUUAAUUCAUUUAUUGAUCAAGAGAGGUAUUAAAAUAAUGGUGAGGCCUCCUUGUUGUGACAAAGGAGGAGUGAAGAAAGGGCCAUGGACUCCUGAAGAAGAUAUCAUUUUAGUUACUUACAUCCAAGAACAUGGUCCUGGAAACUGGAGAGCUGUCCCCACUAAUACUGGUAUGUAUAAUCUUCAUUCUUCAUCUUUAUCUCUCUCUCGCGGUGAUAUAACUAUAUAUAUAUAUCUUAAGAUUUGUAUAUAUUUUACAUAGUAUUGGGGUUAUGAGGGUGAAAGAUAGGAAAUGCAUAUAUAUCAAUAUGGGUAUGGACUGAGUUUGGUUAAUAUACACUUUGUUUCUUCUCCAAAAGGGUUUGAUUGUGGAAUUAGCAUAAUCAAAACCGUAUUCUGAAACUAAUUAGAUAGGGUUUUGUUAUUGACCUUAGGAAGUUAGGAGCAAAAAUUAAUACAUGAAAUUUUGUUAUAUAUACACGUGAAGCUUAAGUUUUUACUCAUUGGUUUUUAUUUUAUUUUAACCUUCAUCGUCAUUUGUAAUUCAGGGUUGCUUAGAUGCAGCAAGAGUUGUAGGCUUAGAUGGACAAACUAUUUAAGGCCAGGAAUCAAGAGAGGCAACUUCACAGAACAUGAGGAAAAAAUGAUUGUCCAUCUCCAAGCCCUCUUAGGCAAUAGGUAAAUUUAAUCAAUCAACCCUUAAUCAAAAGAUUAUUUCUCUAAUAUUAUCUCACGCAACUUUUUGAAAUCAAGAAAAGUAAUACAAAUAAUAGAGGGCAUUUAAUUUUUUGGUGUAGAUGGGCUGCAAUUGCUUCAUAUCUUCCACAAAGGACAGACAAUGACAUUAAAAACUAUUGGAACACUCAUUUGAAGAAGAAACUCAACAAAGCCAAUCAAGAUUCUCAUCAAGAACUUGAUCAAUCAAGAGAUCGGUCCUCGCUCUCUUCUUCUCCAUCAUCUUCUUCUGCCAAUUCGAACUCUAACAUACCAAGAGGUCAAUGGGAAAGAAGACUUCAAACUGAUAUUCACUUGGCCAAGAAGGCCCUCUCUGAGGCUUUGUCGCCUGCCGUAGCACCGAUCGUUACGUCAACGUUGGCCACUACGGCGACAACAUCAUCUUCUUCUGAAUCAAGACGUUCUUCUUCCUCAACAUGCGGUUUUCUUCGGGCGCAAGAAACAUCUACCAGAUAUGCCUCUAGCACCGAGAAUAUAGCGAAAUUGCUUAAAGGGUGGGUGAAGACCUCACCAAAGACUCAGAACUCCGCUGAUCAGAAGAAUCCUCCAGAUUCUGAGACAAAAGAAGUGAUGAGGAGUGAUGAUGUUCAGGAAGACUGUGCAGGGGGAUUUCAAGCAUUUUCCGGGUUUGAUAACUCGAACGAUUGUGACUCACC